UACGAAGGGAGCUAGCGUUGUUCGGAAUUACUGGGCGUAAAGGGUGCGUAGGCUGUUUAAUAAGUUAGAUGUGAAAGCCUCGGUUUCAAGCUGAGAAUAGCAUUUAAUACUGUUAGACUAGAGGAUAAGAGAGGAUAGUGGAAUUCUGAGUGUAGAGGUAAAAUUCGUAGAUAUUCGGAGGAACACCAGAGGCGAAAGCGUCUAUCUGGAUUAAUCCUAACGCUGAGGCACGAAAGUAUGGGGAGCAAAC
rnacentral:rRNA from 1 species